GAAAUGCGAUAAGUAAUGUGAAUUGCAGAAUUCAGUGAAUCAUCGAAUCUUUCAACGCACCUUGCGCUCCUUGGUAUUCCUUGGAGCAUGCCUGUUUGAGUAUCAUGAAAUCUUCAAAGUAAAUCUUUUGUUAACUCAAUUGGUUUCUACUUUGGUAUUGGAGGUCUUUGCAGCUUCACACCUGCUCCUCUUUGUUCAUUAGCUGGAUCUCAGUGUUAUGCUUGGUUCCACUCGGCGUGAUAAGUUAUCUAUCGCUGAGGACACUGUAAAAGGUGGCCAAGGUAAAUGCAGAUGAACCGCUUCUAAUAGUCCAUUGACUUGGACAAUACUUUUAUGAUCUGAUCUCAAAUCAGGUAGGACUACCCGCUGAACUUAAGC
rnacentral:misc_RNA from 1 species